GAAGUUCUACCAGGAGUUUCCACUUUAGGUUCCACGAACCAGAAACACCUGCUUGAGUCUUGGAGGCAAGAAAAGCAGCAGAAGCCACAUUACUGCUCCUCCGGCAUUGGUGGGCAUACGUCCGGGCAUCAGCAGGGAUCCUACCCGGGCCUCUGGGCAUUUUCCUAUCUCACCUUGCACAGAGUGGUCCCGCCCGGGGGUUUCACAGCAUCCUCAGCAUCACCUGGGGACUUGCAGCAAUGCCAGUUCUUAGACCACUCUCCAGUCUUACGCAUUCAGAAGCUGCGGAGGAGAAAAGGUGCUGACACUUUGACUGGGAUCUCAAGGAAUGAAACCCUAAUUGACUGACCAGAGUGGAACCAGGAUCAGCUCAAGACAAGCAUGCUCAUGGCAGUAUUGAUGAAAGACGGGAAAAUGACCAAAAUGUUUAGCAAAGAAGAGUACGUAAAUUGAUACUGUCCUACAGUGGAUUAAAAAUCGUGAAAAUGAACAAGAGCUACACACCUCAACAUUCAUAAACCUCAAACAAGUUUGAGCAACAACACAAAAGCAAGUCCUAAAAGAAUAUGUGCAAUCUGACGUCAUAUAUGACAUACCAUUUCAAAAAUAUGAAAAACUGAGCAAUAUAUAAAGACGAGGUACAUGUGUGCUAAUUCAAUAAAGUAAUGCAAAGAUUAGUAAAUACCAACUUCAGGAUCCAGGUUA